CUGUAGCCAGUGUUUUAACAGUCAGACUUCUGGCUAGAGUCCAGCUCUCAAGUGGGUCUAGCCAAACCUGACUAUAAGCUGCUCCAG
rnacentral:pre_miRNA from 1 species